AUUCAUGUGUUGAAAUCCUAAGUCCAAAUGGGAUGAAAGGAGGAGAUGGGGCCUUCGGGAGGUGAUGAGGUCAUGAGAGUGGUCUUCACGAAUGGUCUCAAUGCCCUUAGAAAAGAGAUCCCAGAGACCUCGCUCCCUCUUUCUACCAUGGGAGGGCCCAGCAAGACGUCAGUCAUCUAUGAACAAGGAAGCAGGUCCUCUCCAGGCACUCAAUGUACCAGUGCCUUGAUCUUGACCUCCCAGCCUCCAGAACUAUGACAAUAAUUUCUAUUUUUUAAGCCA
rnacentral:lncRNA from 1 species